rnacentral:rRNA from 1 species
CCUACGGGUGGCAGCAGUGAGGAAUAUUGGUCAAUGGACGAGAGUCUGAACCAGCCAAGUAGCGUGAAGGAUGACUGCCCUAUGGGUUGUAAACUUCUUUUAUAUGGGAAUAAAAUGUUCCACGUGUGGGAUUUUGUAUGUACCAUAUGAAUAAGGAUCGGCUAACUCCGUGCCAGCAGCCGCGGUAAUACGGAGGAUCCGAGCGUUAUCCGGAUUUAUUUGGUUUAAAGGGAGCGUAGGUGGAUUGUUUAGUCAAGUGGGAAAGUUUGCGGCUCAACCGUAAAAGUGCAGUUGAAACUGGCAGUCUUGAGGACAGUAGAGGUGGGCGGAAUGCGUGGUGUAGCGGUGAAAUGCUUAGAUAUCACGAAGAACUCCGAUUGCGAAGGCAGUUCACUGGACUGCAACUGACACUGAGGCUCGAAAGUGUGGGUAUCAAACAGGAUUAGAUACCCGUGUAGUC